UAAAGAAAAAAAAAAGUAAAAGUAAAUUUAAACCUGGCAGUGGUAGGGUCUUAUUCCUGACCCCCUCCAGGAGCACUGUUUGAAAACCCCAACGCCUGCAACCCUCUUCGUUAGCUGGGUCCUGCAAACAGCGGAACGAAAGGCAGACGGUUUUCUGUUGCUGGGGCGGACGCGGGCCCGAUCUGUCCGUCCUUUCAAGUUUCCCCCAAGGUUGGGACCCAGACGUGCGGCAAAUUCAUGUUCUCUGGCACCAUAGUGGUCGUCGCUGGCCCGAAUUAGAAAUCAACUGCGAAUUCUUCGUGCCUCAGAUUUGUUGACCUACAGAAUGCUUCGGUACCCAUAUUUUUGUAGAAUCUCUAAAGAAUUUCUUUCAUGCUGGUUGGAAUCUGGCAUAUUUAAUUUAGGUGUCUGGCCAAAAAAAAUACAUGAUACAGCACAAAGAAAUAAUGAAUAUGAAGCCCAGGAACAAACAGAUCAAACUGGAACUCAGGAGAAACACAGAUCUCAAGAUAGAGAUUUCGAAGCUAUAGCUAAAUUACAUAUUCCAGUAAUGGUGGAUGAAGUUGUUCGUUGUUUGGCACCACAAAAAGGCCAGAUUUUUCUAGAUAUGACAUUUGGUUCAGGAGGACACACAAGAGCCAUUCUACAGAAGGAGUCAGACAUUACUCUGUAUGCCUUAGACAGAGACCCAGCAGCUUAUGCAAUAGCUGAACAGUUUUCAGAAUUGUAUCCUAAACAGAUCCGAGCUAUGCUAGGCCAGUUCAGCCAGGCAGAAGCCUUAUUAAUGAAAGCUGGAGUGCAGCCAGGAACUUUGGAUGGAGUUCUUUUGGAUCUUGGGUGUUCCUCCAUGCAACUUGAUGCUCCUGAGAGAGGUUUUUCCCUUCGGAAGGACGGCCCCUUGGACAUGAGAAUGGAUGGUGGCAGAUCAACAGGCACUUGCAUCCAUCCUGAGAACAUACGGGGAGGAGAAGCAUGCCAAGAAAAUCGCUUCAGCAAUCGUUCAGGCACGCAGCCUCUACCCCAUCUCCAGAACCCAGCAGCUUGCCAGCAUCGUUGCAGGUACCUCUUCAAAAACCUUAAGAAAUCUAUCAUGUCAUUGGAUACUCCAGAAAAUGAAUACGUCUUGAAGUGCAUGGAGUGUGUGAUUAAGUCCCUGAGUAGGGAGUCAGAAAACAAUAUGACUCUGCCAAUGGAUGACACCACAUGGAUGAGGUUCAGACAAGGCAAUAUGGCUUCCCUAAUAUGACUUGAAGGCACACUGCCCUGAUAAUACGCACUGAGUACUAAAGAGAAGAAAUGUCCCAGUGGAUGCCUAGCCCACAUGGAUUUCAACCCUGAGCAAUUUGAGGCAAAUGGAGGGCAAAGCUGAGGACUGGAGAGGGAUUAUUGGAUUCUAUUCAGAUUCUCACUUGCUCUGGUGAUGGGUCCUGGUAUCAAGUUUCUCCUGGUCUGUGAUAUCUUGUAAUCCAAAAAGGAAUUUUUUUUCUCCCACCCCUCCCCCACCCCAUACACACACCAAAGGGCCACAGCUAGCAUGCACAUUCUUGUUUCAGCUGUUAAUUUGGAGGAAAAUAUAACUAACCAUGCCUACACUUAUUGAAAGGUAGCAAAGCAAAGAAAAAUAGUUUAAUUAUAAUGUCACGAUGCUGGAUAAUAAUAAUGACAAUAACUACAUUUACAGGGUUCUCUAUGUGCCAGGCACUGUUCUAAGGUACUAGACGUCUUUUCUUACCAAUGACAAAUUCAUUAGUCAAGAUCAAGUGCGAUUCAGCAUUAAGAACAUAAAAACUAAAUGGCCAAGAAGAGGGAACAUUCAGAAAUUCAGACUAUUUAUUAAUAUGAGGAUAGAAACAUUAAGGUCAGAGGAGGAGUAUGAAGUGCUAGGAACAGAAUAAAUUAUAGUGUUGGAAACUCUGAUACAUGCUGGGCAGAUAUCUUGGUGACAGGGUUAUGAGGAGGAUAGGGGGUAGAAAAUAAGAAAUGUAAGCUUUGUUGAAUACUUAAGAAGUGAUAUGUAUUUCCUAAACAAAAUAUGAUUUAGUUCUCCCCUACCAACACAAUCUUGGUCAACUUGGGCUGACACAAGAAAACACCAGAGACUGGGUGGCUUCAACAACAGACAUUUAUAUAUCAUAGCUCUGGAGGGUGGAAGUCCAAGACCAGCAUGCCAGCAUGGUUGGGAUCUGGUAAGGACACUCUUCCUGACUUGCAGCUGGCCAUCUUUUCACUGUGUCUUCACAUGGCCUUUCCUUGGUGCAUGUGCAUGGUUAAAGAGAGGGAGAGAACUCUUCCUCUUCUGAUAAGGUUACCAAUCCUGUGAGCUUAGGAUCUCACUCUUAUUACUCAUUUAACCUUAACUACGUCUAAAAAGUCCUUAUGUCCAAAAACAGUUACAUUGGGGUUACAGCUUCAAGAUAAUAAAUUUGGGAGGGACACAACUCAGUUCACAGCAAACACUAUGAGAAAAGUAUCAUUAAGUUUAUAGUUGAGAAAACUGUUUAGAGGAGGGGAUAACUUGUCCAUGACCUCAGCUAUAGGAUAUGGUAAAGGAAGGUUCAAACCCAGGGACUCUGACUUCUGAGUUUUCCUUCAUCCCCAGCCACUUGGGGGGAUAGUGUGGGCAAGUCCAUGGGACUCCUCUGUGGUACUGGGGACUGAGCUAAGCCUAAUGGACCUGCUCCUGUGUUAAUUUUUUCCAGCAAGGUAUGGCUUCUCAGGUGAAAUGACAGGGAAUGUGUUUUUUCUUUCUCUCUCUCUUUUUUUUCCCUGCCUUUUUUAGAUUAUUGGUUCAAGCAGAUGUUCAGCCACUUUGUAGAGAAAUUAGUGGGCCCUGGAGAUACUGAGUGGACUUCUGUGAUUUUCUCCUGUCUGUGCCAAUGAGAAUGAGCUUUUGCUGUUUCUUUUUCACCCAAUGCUACCAGGAUUGUUAAUGAAGUCUGAACCUCUCUGGUGGCAGUGGUGGCCAUCUGCCCUCUAGGCCAUCUAUCUGGUUGACCCUUUGAAGUUUGCACAUGGGCAUUGUUCACCUCAUCAGGAAGAAUUCGCUUUUCCACGAGGAAAGGAGUUUGGGUGUAUCAUCUGUUUCCUGAUGGGAUCCUGACUGACAGAAAGAGAGAGAGCAUGACGCAAGUGGGGGC